AUUUAGGUAGCUUAAGUUUAGGGCAUAACAGUGAAGAUGUUAAAGUAAUUAUUUAUAUUUCUAAAUA
rnacentral:tRNA from 1 species